rnacentral:rRNA from 1 species
AUUGAACGCUGGCGGCAUGCCUUACACAUGCAAGUCGAACGGCAGCACGGGAGCAAUCCUGGUGGCGAGUGGCGAACGGGUGAGUAAAGUAUCGGAUCGUGCCCAGUCGUGGGGGAUAACGUAGCGAAAGCUACGCUAAUACCGCAUACGAUCUAUGGAUGAAAGCGGGGGACCGUAAGGCCUCGCGCGAUUGGAGCGGCCGAUAUCAGAUUAGGUAGUUGGUGAGGUAAAGGCUCACCAAGCCGACGAUCUGUAGCUGGUCUGAGAGGACGACCAGCCACACUGGGACUGAGACACGGCCCAGACUCCUACGGGAGGCAGCAGUGGGGAAUUUUGGACAAUGGGCGCAAGCCUGAUCCAGCAAUGCCGCGUGCAGGAUGAAGGCCUUCGGGUUGUAAACUGCUUUUGUACGGAGCGAAAAGGCUCUCUCUAAUACAGGGGGCUCAUGACGGUACCGUAAGAAUAAGCACCGGCUAACUACGUGCCAGCCGCCGCGGUAACAC